GACAAAGGGGGCAAGCGUUGCUCGGAAUCACUGGGCGUAAAGGGCGCGUAGGCGGGAUGGCAAGUCGGUCGUGAAAUCCUUCGGCUCAACCGAAGAACGUCGGCCGAUACUGCCGUUCUUGAGGGAUGCAGAGGAGAUUGGAAUUCCCGGUGUAGCGGUGAAAUGUGUAGAGAUCGGGAGGAACACCGGUGGCGAAGGCGGGUCUCUGGGCAUCUCCUGACGCUGAGGCGCGAAAGCGUGGGGAGCAAACGGG
rnacentral:rRNA from 1 species